GGCAGGCGACUAAUAUUUUCUAGUGCUUAUUAUGUUCAAGCAUUGUGCUAGUUACUUUACAUGUGACUUCAUUUCGUCUUUACAGGCUAUUAUGAUCCGCGAAUUUUAUUAACUUACUCAAAACACAUUUAUUGAAUAUUGACACAUGCCAGUCACUCUGCUAGACACUGGGAAUGAUCAACAAGGCAGGCUUAAUGCAUGCACUCUUGGAAUGUGUGGCUCAGAGACAAUACUCACGUAAAAGAACAAAGUAGCUACAAUUUGCAAUAAAGAUGAUGAAGGAACCAGAGACUUUGCUGCAGCUGGAGGCUGAAGAGCAUAGCUCAACUGUGGCCUUUGAAAGCCAUGCUAGGUAUCACGUCCAUCCUUAUUGCCACUGCUGCCCACCAGACAGCAAUUUCAGGGGCCCUACGCUUCUCUCUGCUCCAGGAACACACCGCAUUUCCCAUCUCAGGUCCUUCCUCACAUUCCGUUCAACAGGCAGGUGUUUCCCGUUUUCUGCACUGCCUGCCCUGCUUCUCAGUAUAUGCACUUCGCAUGCCUCUGGGGAGCUCCUAUGCUUGUGAAAGGAUUAGGAACCCCCGGCAGUGCUGUCAUACCCAGCAGGACGUGGCGAGUGAGAGACCUGAUGGAGACAUGAAGGAAAUAUGGGAGGGUUUUGAUGGAGACAUGAUCAUGUCCAUUUGAGGGAGAUUAGAAAAUGUAGUUUGAAGAGGUGGUAUUUGGGGGCAUGGGUAUGAUUUUUACAGCUUACCAUGGUAGAGAAAGGAUGUUUAAGACAGGUGAGACAGCAUACGCAAAGAUUGCAUAGAUGACAGAGUUCCGGGCACAUCCCGGCAGUAGCAAGAAUCCCAGGGUGGCUGGACGAUGGAGCAGUUCUAGGGGAGAGAGGGCAUUGAACGCUAACAUGGGACCAUGCAUUGGAGGACAAAAUGCCAGAGAGAGGAGUGUAUAAUUGAUGUGGUGGGCAGGGGGAAUUCACUGCCUUUGUGACUAGGAGAAAGGCAUGCUUGUAGCUGCAUUUGAGGACGACGGUGCUGGCAUGCUGGAGGAGGAGCGGGGGAGGCCAAUUAGAUGGCUGUUUGCAGUAGAUCAGGUGAAUGGUAAAAAGGAGGUGACCUUGGGGGAUACAAUGAUGAUGAAGGCUGUGAAGCCAGAGAGGACAGGCAAGUCACAGGGCUCUGAGCGAAUGGACGCAUUAGACACAAAAAUAACGUCAAUGGGAAAUUAAUUUGAAGUGAAAGAUAAUUCAUUGAAAUCCCUUUACCUGGAAGUGUCUUCCCUUCUCUAGUCUAUAUAAAGCCUAACUUUAUGGGAAAGGUGGGUAAAAGCUGAAUAAUGCAGUUUUACCCUUUACAGCACUUCUAGUCUGUUGACAUAAAUGAAUGUCGAUUGCCUUAUAUUGUUCCUUACCUGGUGUGAGUGUGUUGGUCUGGUCUCCACAGAUAAUGAUAAAUCAGGCACUUCAGUUUCCUCUAAAUUUUCUAAAGUUCAGAGAAAAAGAAGCUUAAAGACAAACUCCUAGAAAUCUCUUUAAAUCUUUUUCUUGGGGAAAAAAAAAGUUAGAAUUUACCAUUGAACUAUGUGUAGUUUAUAAUUUCAUCAAAGUCUAAUGCACAGUUUAUGAUUAAGGAAAAAGAAGGUAGAAAGUAUGUAGAAGGAACAAAAGAUGUCAAUUAACAUAUAGAGGGAAAACCUAGUGCCAAAAAAAAAAUUCAAGUCAAUAUUAGACAAAAACAUGAAGCUCCAUUUUCAAUGUUGGUUCACCUGAUCCAAACAAACACAAACCAGUUAUAAAAACUGGACCUUAUUUGAAAGAGACCUAACCAAUACCAUCACAGUUUAGUGAGACCACCACAGAAAGCAUGCAGGUACCUGACCUUUGACCUUUAAUGUUGUUGCCAUUUUUUAGGAUAAAGGGGACGGUCCUGUUACUGGAGACAUUUUGCCGAGUGCUUCGGCAUCCUGGAAAUUUGCUCUGCCUAUUUGUUGUCGUCAUCUGGUUCCCAAGUGGUGGAAGUUUUCUUCAGGAGAUAUUUGGGUAAUGGGUCUAAUGAUAAUAACGGUUUAAUAGCACAGGUUUCUUUUAAAGAACUGAACAAAUUAAAAACUAAUUUCUGGUUUGUAUGUAUGACAACCUGUGAGGUUAGAAAGGAAAUAUCGUUAUGUGUAUAGCCCAAAUCUCUUUCCUGUGAAUUUGGGAAAAAUGAAAGAAGUCCGUCUCACUUAUCUCAAAACUGAGGAAUGAACGGGCCGAUCUUCCCAACACUUUGGGGGCGCUUUAGUUCUGGUAUACCACAUUCAUUUAGCCAGUGAAAUGACAUUCAUUAGAAUCCUGAAUAUUUAAUUUACUUUUAAAUAUGUUCGAUAAAUUCGCAGUUUAAAAUAUACCCCAUCAAACUUUGGUCUCCAUGUAUGCUGACAGAGGUCAUUGAAGAGCUUAGAAGUGAAAAUCCAAAGACCAAGUAUGAGAAAAACAAUAAACACAUAAAUCAGAGUGACACUACGUGAUGUCGUGUGGAGGACAAAAAGCCCAUGCUAAUUGCAGAGGAGAGCUUUAAAUGCAUAACUUUUUAAAUGUGAAAAUUCAGACACAGACAUAUGUGUACAGAGCAAUGCAACUCUGAGCUCAUGCCUAAAACAUCCCUACUGGCCUUGUGAUAGUUCUGGAGGUGGGUGCCUAAGUAAGAUGUGAAUAUGGACUUGGAAUGUCAUGUAAGUCUCCUGUAUUGGUAUGCUUGUCCUUGUGGAUCCCAGGUACUAUUGUGAAAAUUAUAUAUGAUGGCAUAAUGAUGAAAGGCAAAAUAUAAUCAAGAUGUAUUAAAAUCAUAAGAAAUAAGUAAAGAAAAGCCAUUCUGAGUAAACUUUAGCAGAAUAAAGGGAUUGCAGCCCUCUUCAUAAUUCUAUUGCAGUGGUUUCUAAACUAUUGUGUAAGGUUUUGUAUUUCUAAUUAGCUAAGUACUGAAAUAUGCUCUCUAAAGUGACUCAUGGAAAUGUGGAAUAACUGCAAAAAAUAUCAGGGAACUUGAAUUUAAUGUAGACUCAAUACAUUUUUUUUUUCAUAGCAUAAAUUAUGAAACAUUAUUCGGAUACAAUAUUGUAAUUUAUCUCUCUGCCAUGGCUAGAACUUUAGUAGUUAAGACAUGUGUGAGGACCACCCAGUGCAGAGAUCCUUGCAUGUCUAGAUCAGGGUUUCUCUUUUGCUAACACUGGGUUAGUUUCAUGUCCAUGAUAACUAGGCAUGCUGUGAUGUCAUUACUAGAAUCGGAGUCUGGCCCAGGUAGGAAAGCUAAUGGUAAUCAUAAUGAUUGCUGGCAUAUACUGAGCCCCUUCUGUAUGCCAAGUGUUAACUUAUUUAGCAUGUGCUAACUUAUUUAAUCCUCACUACAGCCCUAUUAGACAUAUGAAGAAAGUAAGUAAUAGUAAGUUACUUCAGAGAAAGUAAGUAACUCACUUAGGCUCACACAGCCAGGAAGUGGCAGACCUGGGAUUUGAACCCAGGACUUAAGGUUCUAGACUCUACACUCUAAUGUCACUGUACUGUGGCACCUCACAUGCCAUGGUGUUGUACCGCUGUUGGUGACAUCCUCAGGUCUCUUUGGCAUUCUUAUCAGAGUGUCAAUCUAUCUCUUUGGACUUCUUUUUCUCCUGUUCUGUUGCAAUAGGACCCCUCUGAAUUCAGAGAAUAUGAUGUCCUUAAUGAAUCAUCAAGACAUUUCUGGACAGUUUUAGGGGUUUUCUAUGGAGAUCUCAUUUCUUAAUUCUGACUCAACCACCAGAAUGAUUUGAUAUAUAUGACAUAUGACUCCUGCAUACAAUUAAGUGAAUAAAAACCCUUAACCACAUUUGCUAGUGGAAAAGAAAUAAACUGUCCACAUGUUUGGAACACAUAACCCUAACUGUACCUCUAACUCAUAUUUACUCGCCAUUAGUUUGAAUUUUAGGGAGAUUUAUUAACAUGCGAGGUACUAAUAUUGUACAGUUCAAGAAUCAUGAGAGAGUUGUGUGAAAUGAGAAGUCCAGUGAAUUACAGGAAAACCAAGAUUCUCAGGGCAAAGCUAAAGGAACAUUACUGAUAACACAUAUGAGCUUGCUAUCCAGCUUUUAAAAUUUCUUGCACCAUAGUAAUCUUAUUGUCAAUACACUUAAGAUUAUUUCCAAGUAAUGCUUAUCAACACCAAUUCUAUUUAAAAUACUUUAAAGUACUUUACAUGUGCCCAAGCCAAUGUGGCUCAGUUGGUUGGAGUGUCAUCCUGCAGGUUCGAUUCCUGGUGAGGGCACAUAUGCAGGUUGUGGGUUCCAUUCAGGGUGCCUACAGAAGGCAGCUAGUCGAUCUCUCUCUCUCUCUCUCUCUCUCUCUCUCUCUCUCUCUCUCUCUCUCUCCUCUCUCUUCUCUCUGUUUUAAAUCAAUAGGAACAUAUCUUUGGUAAGGAUUAAAGGAGGGGAGAGUACUUCAUAUGUGUAUAAGGGCAAGAGUAACAAAUAUGACAGUUCUUUGUAGAUUCAAGGGUAAAAGAAUGCAUGAAAGUGUUAAAUAGCCUGAUGAAAUCCUAACUCGGUAGUGGCACAAUUACUUAACAGAUUGGAUUAUUCUGCGGAGAAUUAGUGACCCCCUUCAGUCAAUGUAUUUGGAGUCCUAGUGUGUGCCUGGUUCUCUGCUGGGUGCUAAGGACCCAGAAAUGAAUCCAGCACCUUCCUUUGGCUCAGAGGGCAUCUGGUCUACUUCUCCCUUCUCUGUUAAAUCAUUUUCGUCUCCAAGCCUUACAUAAUCAUUCUACCGCAGGGAGACCUAGUGUGAGUAACGUAAUUAUCCCCCCUUAAAGUUAGAAUGAAAUAACACCGACUUUUACUCUGAAAUCCAUGGAAAUGUAAAAUUUCCUGUUCUGUUGUCCUUGAUAAAAUAUAACAAAACAACUAGUUGCUGGGUUACUACAUAAAACACAGGCUCCAAACUGCAGUGGGGAAGAACAGUUAGCAAUUAAGUAACGGAAAUGACUAGUGGUUUGAAACCCAGCAGACUGCCCAGGCAUCUAGGUUACUUAGGCAACUUUUAUCACUAAGGAAGUAGUUCUGGUGACUCAUGCUCCUACCGAGUGGCUUCCUUCCUUCAAAACUGGUGCAUUCAGGGACCUUACCAUUAUGCAUCUCUCUUCUUUUUCUUUGGACGAGGGCAGAAAAAGUGCAUUGGAUGGUAUGGGUUUAUUACUUAGUAGCAUAUUAUUCACUGGCUGGCCCAUAUCUUGAAAUUUAAUGGACUCAUGGUGAUCAGAAUAAAGGAGAUGAAAAAUGGGAUUCAAGUCUCCUUUGAGAGUUGUCUAGAGGCGAUGGUAAUAAAAAUAAAGGAGCUGGAAGGAAACUCUUUUGCCAGCGUCUCUCUCCAGAUUUUCUGUCUACCUGCCUGAUGCUCCAACGGUAUUUGCUUAUUGGCUUAAAAAAAAUAGUAGAGAAGUUGUGGAAGAAGUUAGUUCAUCCAAAGCGUUUUAGGUCGAUGUGUGUUUGGAGAAGUCAGUGGAAGAACGUAUUGUCGACAGUUGAAGAAAACUGGGAGCCAAGCAUCCGACUGGCUCCUGGGGUCCGGACAGGAGCCCGGUUUCCUGUGAGGCCUGUGGUGCCCGUUCCUAGCGCGCUCCACCUACAGGCACCUGAAUCAUCCCGAUAUCUCUUGUCCGGACUCCAGAAGUCAUGCUGUAAGGCUCACCAUGUAGACAGUGUCGCUGUGGCUGUUUCCAUUUUGCUUUCACUGCAGCCCUUUUCUGUUUUUAAUUUUGUGGCUGGCAAAGCUUGAAAAGACCGUGAGUCAGGCCAACCAUUCUUUCCCCUCCAGAUAGAAGCCUUAGUGUGCGGCCAAGGCACUGAGCACCGUUUGUGCUCAUGAACCUUAGCUGCUGGAGGCUUUUCUGUGGGGACGGGGAACAUGUGGGGGAAGUACAGUCCCGUGGUUCCCGAAGUGUGGUCCCCAGGCCAGCUCGGCAGCAGCAUCCCCUGGACAUUUGUUAGAAAUGCCAGCUAUCCUUCCCCGCUCCAGACAGACUGAAUCAGAAACCCCGGGGGCUGGGGGUGGGGGGGGGGCGGUGGUUAGCAAUCUGCGUUUUAACAAGAUGAUUCCAGAUGAUUCUGAGGAAUGCUAAAGUCUGAGAACCAUUGUGCUAAUGAACUGUUAGUGCUUGUGGCCAGGGAGGGUAUGAAAAAUACAGAGGUUGGAGAGCGGGCAUGUUGAUGAGUCUUUGCUCAUAAGGAAAGGAAGAAUAGAGAGAAAAAAUAUUUUACCUCUUAGAAUUCCAAAAAAGAACAAAGAGAAAGCCUGGGACAUAAUCAGCAGAACUAAUUGCUUGCAUGAACCUUUGCUUUCUCAGAGAAGGGCAAUCCAGAUGACGAGGUUACGGAAAAUAUGUUUGCACAGCUCUGAAAUUCUAGAAUAACCUCUCCCGUGAGAAAAGACAUGUCUUUCCAUAUUAAAGAAUAAAUUCAACUCAAGUUUGUAAAACUCUAUAAGAUUAUUGUAUUGCAUUGACUAGGCGAACUUGUUGGCCCCUUGAAACCCCAGUCUCUGCAUCUGAAAACCACGUGUGUUGUUACUCUCCAUGAGUUAUCUCACUGGGAUGAAGUGAGGGCUUCAAUAUAUGGUAGAGGAUUUGCGCGGCACUUGGAGCAUGGAAAAAUGCGGAGCGUAAGGGUCAAGCAUGAUUCAUAUAAAUAUUGAUGGUGCAGAGAGGUUUGGAAGUCGAUACAAAAAUGGGUUAAUUUUUCAACUUCCCUUUGACAUCUGCCCCUUUUAGUUCUGGCUCUGUCAUGUAUUCGUUUGUGAUGUUAAGUAAAACACAGGUUUUUAAAGCUUUUAAUCUUAGUUUCCUCAUAAAAAACACAGCAAAAAUGAUGCACACCCAGAGGAUCCCUGUGAGAAUAAAACUGGAUUAAAAUCUGAAAAUGCAGUUUCCAAAGGUCAAACAUUACAAAUUUUAGAUGUUGUUGUUGUUUUAUGUCUGGGUUGGCGAGGCUUUGUGAUUGUUGACACUGACAUCACCCAGGAGUUUAGAAUGCGUGUGUCAGCAGCUUGUAUGAUUACAAAAAAAUAGCUGUGUUGACUUCCCUACUAAUUCUCCAUCAGUGGAAUGUCUCCACUUUCUCAUGAAAUAAGGGAGACCCACAUAUGUUUAGUUAAAGAAAGUAAGCCUGACAUUUUUUAUCCUUUGAACUAAGAGACUACACUUCACUCAUCCUCUGGUGGAACGAUGACUGUGGAGUCAGGCUACGUGGGUAAAUUCCCAGAUCCUCUGCUUCCUAUGGUAGAACCAUGGGGAAGGCUCAGUGUCCUCAUACCUGAAAUGGGGUGGUCAUAUUUCAGGGUUGCAUGAAGAUGAAGAGAAAUGUUCAUGCAAUACAUAGGUGAGUGCCUAGCACAGAGUAAGUACUCAAUAAUGUGGGUGUUUGUUAUUAAAUUCCAGCAGGAAGAAGAGGAAGGACAGAAGCCUGGAAGUCAAGGGCAAGGAAGAAUAAGAGAAGAGGGCAGCUGGAAAAAGGGUCUGAUCAUUUUGAAAAUGAAAAUUCAAGGAGUUCCCAUGACUUUUCUGGUCACUUUAAAAAUCAAACAAUUCUCUGAUCACUUCUAAUUGAGAACAUUAAUCACGUGAUUUAUAAUCUGCAAGUCCUGUAAUAAGCAAAAUUUCAAUCUUGUGUUAAAGUUACGUGUCUUCUCUCUCCUAGCUUGAGUGCUGGAGGCAAGGAGCCAUAGAAAAUGAGAAUACUGGAUUUCCCUCUCCCCUCCCUUCUCCUCCCCUCUCUCCCUCUCUCCAUCCUCCUUCCUCAUUAACAGAAGAGGUGGGGGAGAAAAAGUUCUUACUGGGCAGGUGCUAUUGAUGACCGAGCGUUGGUUUACACCUCUGGUUUCAGCUUGCGUUUAAAACUGGCCCGUUUUCUAGCAGGUGCUUCUUGGGAGACUUCUCAUUAUUGGGAUGUCUCUCCCAACGCUUCCUUGACACACAGAAGUGCAUUUUUAUUUUGGCUUCCACAGAAGGUAGGAGUUUUUCAGAAGUGCACUCCUUGCUUCUGUGUGCUCUGAUCUCUACUUUCCAGAGGGUGAUUCUUGAACAGAGCCCAAGACAGCUAGCUCUCUCUUGUGUGGCUUAGAUCUGGUCCAAGGGACGUACUUUACAUUCUAAAAUUCAGAGGGUACCCUCUAGAGAGGGUAUUAUGUUAGUGAAAUAAAACCAGACAGAGAAAAGACAAAUACCAUAUGAUUUCACUUGUAUGUGGAAUCUUAAGAACAACGUAAAUGAACCAAAAAACAGACUCAUAGAUACAAAGAACAAAAUGAGGGUUGCCAGGUGAAAGGAGUUUUGUGGGGCUGGGUAAAAAAGGGAGUAAGAAGUACAAAUUGGUAGUCUCAAAAGAGUGAUGGAGAUGUAAAGUACAGCGUAGGGAAUAUAGUCAACAAUAUUGUAAUAACUAUUAUGGUGUCAGGUGGGCACUAGGAUUAUCAUGGGGGUGUCACUUCAAAAAUUAUAUAAUUGUCUAACAACCAUACUAUACACCUGAAACUAAUAUGAAAUAGUGUUUAAAGUCAACUGUAGCCCUAACCAGUUUGGCUCAGUGGAUAAAGUGUCAGCUUGUGGACUGAAGGGUCCCGGGUUGGAUUCCGGUCAAGGACAUGUACAGGUUGUGGGCACAUCCCCAGUGGGAAGUGUAUAGGAGGCGGCUGAUCGAUGUUUCUCUCUCAUCGAUGUUUCUAACUCUCUAUCCCUUUCCCUUCCUCUCUGUAAAAAAUCAAUAAAAUAGAUAAAAAAGAAAGAAAAAAAGUCAACUGUAAUUGAAAAAUAAAAAAACCUCAGAGGGUAAUGAGGGAACAAACUUCCUGGGUGGUUCUUUGAAGCACUGAACCUGUGCUUGAGGUGAGUGGCAAAGGGCCCCAUCGGUCUUCUGAGGAGAGGCAUGCUGGUAGCUUUCUCCAAAAACCUUCAUCUUUUUACCUUCCCCUGGGUAAACGGUUAUAAAUGUUAUAGAACUCUUUCUGGAAUCUUCCGUUGGAAACAUUGCAUUAUACUGUUGUAUUUUACUUUGGUAUUGGCAUCUGGUGUUUGGUACUUUUAGUCAAAAAUUGCACGUCAACUCCUACUGAGGCGAAAGGGGAGCGAUCACUUUGGGAAUGCUCUGCCUUCACAGACCAUCACCCAGAGUCGCUGGUGCUGGGGAUGCACCUGCAUUGUGAUUGGGACUCCGGAGUGCUCAUGCUAAUCGCAGAGGAAAGCUUUAAAUGAGAGUGAGUGUUUUUUAAGGUGUUGACAUUUAGUCUUUUCCUCAUAGGCAGCUUUUUAAAAAGAGACUGACAUCACUUGAAAGUAAGUUAUGUUACUGUUUUAGGAACUAAAAUGCUUUUAAAAGUUAGGUUCAAAAAUAGAUCCAGAGACAAAGAAGUGUGGAGCAGACUGUGGAAUCUCAGAGGGAAGGCAGGGUGGGUGGGUGGGAAGAGAUGAA